AUUCCAAGUGGUGGUGAAAGAUCCCCUUUUUUAGAAGACAGCAUAAUGCAGUUCUCAAACUCGCUGAUUGUACAAGGUUCCUACAUACCCUCUUAUGAAGUGAUGCUGCAGUUGUAUGGUCUACAAACAGGUAGUCUGUGGCCCAUGUACAGCGUCACGCCCAGGAUUCUGGGACCCUGUAGGCCGUUACAAAUGGGAUGCUUGGAAUCAGCUUGGAGACAUGAGUCGGGAGAGUGCCAUGGCUGCUUAUGUG